GUGGGGAAUUUUGGACAAUGGGCGCAAGCCUGAUCCAGCAAUGCCGCGUGCAGGAAGAAGGCCUUCGGGUUGUAAACUGCUUUUGUAUGGAACGAAACGGUCCGGGUUAAUACCCUGGGCUAAUGACGGUACCGUAAGAAUAAGCACCGGCUAACUACGUGCCAGCAGCCGCGGUAAUACGUAGGGUGCAAGCGUUAAUCGGAAUUACUGGGCGUAAAGCGUGCGCAGGCGGUGCUGUAAGACAGGGGUGAAAUCCCCGGGCUUAACCUGGGAAUUGCGCUUGUGACUGCAGUGCUGGAGUGCGGCAGAGGGGGAUGGAAUUCCGCGUGUAGCAGUGAAAUGCGUAGAUAUGCGGAGGAACACCGAUGGCGAAGGCAAUCCCCUGGGCCUGCACUGACGCUCAUGCACGAAAGCGUGGGGAGCAAACAGGAUUAGAAACCCCAGUAGUCC
rnacentral:rRNA from 1 species